rnacentral:rRNA from 1 species
GACGAACGCUGGCGGCGUGCCUAAUACAUGCAAGUCGAGCGGAACUGGGGGAGCUUGCUCCUUCCAGUUUAGCGGCGGACGGGUGAGUAACACGUGGGCAACCUGCCCUGCAGAUCGGGAUAACUCCGGGAAACCGGUGCUAAUACCGAAUAGUUUGGCGCCUCUCCUGAGGCGCCACGGAAAGACGGUUUCGGCUGUCACUGCAGGAUGGGCCCGCGGCGCAUUAGCUAGUUGGUGGGGUAACGGCCCACCAAGGCGACGAUGCGUAGCCGCGCUGAGAGGGUGACCGGCCACACUGGGACUGAGACACGGCCCAGACUCCUACGGGAGGCAGCAGUAGGGAAUCUUCCGCAAUGGACGCAAGUCUGACGGAGCAACGCCGCGUGAGUGACGAAGGUUUUCGGAUCGUAAAACUCUGUUGUGAGGGAAGAACACGUACCAACUAACUAUUGGUACCUUGACGGUACCUCACCAGAAAGCCACGGCUAACUACGUGCCAGCCGCCGCCGUAA